rnacentral:rRNA from 1 species
AUUGAACGCUGGCGGCAUGCUUUACACAUGCAAGUCGAACGGUAACAGGUUGAGCUGACGAGUGGCGAACGGGUGAGUAAUGCAUCGGAACGUGCCCGGCCGUGGGGGAUAACGCAGCGAAAGCUGCGCUAAUACCGCAUCCGAUCCGAGGAUGAAAGCGGGGGACCGUAAGGCCUCGCGCGAUCGGAGCGGCCGAUGUCAGAUUAGGUAGUUGGUGGGGUAAAGGCUCACCAAGCCAACGAUCUGUAGCUGGUCUGAGCGGACGACCAGCCACACUGGGACUGAGACACGGCCCAGACUCCUACGGGAGGCAGCAGUGGGGAAUUUUGGACAAUGGGCGAAAGCCUGAUCCAGCAAUGCCGCGUGCAGGAAGAAGGCCUUCGGGUUGUAAACUGCUUUUGUACGGAGCGAAAAGGUCUCCUCUAAUACAGGGGGCUCAUGACGGUACCGUAAGAAUAAGCACCGGCUAACUACGUGCCAGCCGCCGCAGUAA